UGGCCUUGACAUAGUAGAGACUUUCCAGAGAUGGAAAGGUGCCUUCGGGAAUCUACAUACAGGUGCUGCAUGGCUGUCGUCAGCUCGUGUCGUGAGAUGUUGGGUUAAGUCCCGCAACGAGCGCAACCCUUUUCCUUACUUGCCAGCAUUUCGGAUGGGAACUUUAAGGAUACUGCCAGUGACAAACUGGAGGAAGGCGGGGACGACGUCAAGUCAUCAUGGCCCUUACGGCCAGGG
rnacentral:rRNA from 1 species